UUAUGUUUUGUCAUUGUUUGUCUGGUUGACUUGUAGCUUGAAGGUAUGUAAACGAUCGUCGAGGAAAAGUAUGGCGACGUCGAGGAAAAGGCCGAAAUCGAUCAUUGUGGAACCCAGUGGAACCGAUCAGCCUUGCCUGGAAUCGAUCAAUCCAGUAGAACACAUCGUCUUUGCUGAUCAACCUUCAGGUAAGUCAUACUAUCCAGACAACGUAAAAAUUGAAAACCUAUAAAUCUAAUCAUUAUCUUGGGAGACAUAGUAUUCAUCGUUUCGGCCAAAAGAGCCUACUACUCUAAUACAUUAUUUUCGAUUUCUUUUUAGUGUUAUCGUCUGCCUUUUGACAAGAAUAUCAUCACAGAUCGCGGUCGGGAAGAAGAGGCACAUAGAUGACGACGUUGUGCUCUCGGAAAUCAACCUUAGUUCACAGCAGGAACAACUUAUUGUGUUUAUUACCG
rnacentral:lncRNA from 1 species